AAAGAAUUAGAUAAAAAAUAUCAUAAAUUCGUCAAAUUUAAAUUAAAAUUAAAAUUAUUCUUUA
rnacentral:tRNA from 1 species